rnacentral:rRNA from 1 species
UAACUGAGCGUUCAGUUACUUGACGUAGACCCGAAACCGGGCGACCUACCCAUGAGCAGGAUGAAGCGAAAGUAAAAUUUCGUGGAGGUCCGAACCCACGAGCGUUGAAAAGCUCGGGGAUGACUUGUGGGUAGCGGUGAAAUUCCAAUCGAGCCCGGAGAUAGCUGGUUCUCCCCGAAAUAGCUUUAGGGCUAGCCUCAAGGUGAGAGAUACGGAGGUAGAGCACUGAAUGUCCUAGGGGGUAUUGCACCUACCGAAGACUAUCAAACUCCGAAUGCCGUCAUCUUAUACUUGGGAGUCAGACUGUGGGUGAUAAGAUUCAUAGUCGAAAGGGCAACAGCCCAGAUCGUCAGCUAAGGUCCCUAAAUGUAAGUUAAGUGGUAAAGGAUGUGGGAUUGCACAGACAACCAGGAUGUUGGCUUAGAAGCAGCCACUCAUUCAAAGAGUGCGUAAUAGCUCACUGGUCGAGUGAUCCUGCGCCGAAGAUUUCCGGGGCUAAAACUUACUACCGAAGCUACGGCAUCAGUAAUGAUGGGUAGGGGAGCUUCCCAUACGGGUUGAAGCAUGACCGUAAGGACAUGUGGACAGUAUGGGAGUGAGAAUGUUGGCAUGAGUAGCGAGAUGUGGGUG